GAAAUUUCCAUCAAGCAAAAUAUUACUCGACUUUAUGUCUCGGUGUAUUAUACGAGGCGAGCAAUCAUGAUGUAAAUAUGCCAGUCCUUUUGCAGCUCCCAUGAUUAUAGUCAACCGUGCAUCCCAGUCUAGUUGCUUAGAUCUGUAUGUAACUUUUUUUCAUUUUUUAACUGGAAAAGCAUAUUGAAAUCAAGAAGACAAAUACAGAAGAUCCUCAACACUCAACAGCAUAAGCAAUGUAAAAAAUUGGACGGACUAGCUUAGGAUAUUCCUCUUUUUUUUUCCUCAUAGCUUUUUACCACCAAAACAACAAUUUGUAGGAUUGCAUGGACACUUACAUUCGGAUUUUCACAUGUUCCACUCCUCAAACAAGAACAUAAGGUUGAAAUUCCAUUGUGUUUUGUAAUAUUCGAGUUAUUACAUAAAAUUUAGUUGUGAUGUGUCAUUCUUUUUUCUUUUUUUUUUUUUUGAAACUGGUAACUUAUAGUGAUGUGUCAUUUGUUAUUUUCUGAAGACUUGUAUUUCUCUUUAAUUUCAGUAUGGAAUAUAAUUAGUUAAAACUCAUUUAUAUGGCAUGCCUUGGGUCCCUUUUCGUUGUGCCCUUCUGUAACUCACCCAAGAUGGUAAACUGGCGGCCUUGUGAAGGAAAAACUACAGAACUUCUUGUUCUACAAUCAAAGUUUUAUAUCAACAUCACAAAGCAUCAAUGACACCCCAAGAAUUCUAUCAGAAUGACAUAAACCAAUUGUUGCUCAGUUACCAAGUUAAACUCCAUCAUUUUUUUUUUAUUUUUGAUAAGGUAAAAUCAUGUUAAAUCUAUUAUAUCCAAAGAUAUGCAUGCACGUUAGACUGCUUUGUUUUACCUCUCUUUUCCUUUCAGUUUUUGGGAAUAAAGUUGGGAGGGGAAGGAAGGGAAGAACAUCACAGCACACUUGUCUACUAAUUUCAUACGUAUAAUAGACUCAAAAAAGCACUUGUAUUUAAAACUCAUUUAUAUGGCAUGCCUUGGGUCCCUUUUCGUUGUGCCCUUCUGUAACUCACCCAAGAUGGUAAACUGGCGGCCCUGUGAAGGAAAAACUACAGAACUUCUUGUUCUACAAUCAAAGUUUUAUAGCAACAUCACAAAGCAUCAAUGACACCCCAAGAAUUCUAUCAGAAUGACAUAAACUAAUUGUUGCUCAGUUACCAAGUUAAACUCCAUCAUUUUUUUUUUAUUUUUGAUAAGGUAAAAUCAUGUUAAAUCUAUUAUAUCCAAAGAUAUGCAUGCACGUUAGACUGCUUUGUUUUACCUCUCUAUUCCUUUCAGUUUUUGGGAAUAAAGUUGGGAGGGGAAGGAAGGGAAGAACAUCACAGCACACUUGUCUACUAAUUUCAUACGUAUAAUAGACUCAAAAAAGCACUUGUAUUAUGAGGCAGAGAUCUAGUCAAGCAGGCAAUCGGCUUGACUCCAAGCUCCUGAGACAAUAUUCAGAGCUAGCACAACUUGCGACAAUGGAGGAGCACUCUAUCACCUACGGGAAAGUGUACUAUAAUUUCCACUGUUCAUUUAACAGAUUGCUACUUUUGCUCAGUUUAAUUAUUUUUAGUUUACAGUGACAGUAUCUAACAUUGUCAUUUAUCAAAAUGUUAUUGAUUCCUGGUGGUAGCACAAUUUAACGCCAUUAAGCAGCAUAACCUAAGGUAGAAAGAACAAAGAAGAGCUAUGUAUGGAAGACAACCAACAGCAUCGACAACGAUUACUACUCAAUAUUACAGCAUAUAUCGACCUUAUGUUAUUAGAUGCAAAGUGUCCCAACAUAUUUCCACUAAACCCAAGUGUACGUGCUAAAUUCAUAAAUAAACAUAUAUCCUUACCCUACCAUAAGCAGCAAGACAAUUAACAGUGGAAGAAUAUCUCACCAUGCAGAACUUCAUCCAAGCUGCCUCCGGAUAAGAAGUCAUAUAUCAACAACUUCGAUGUUGGAGAAUUGCAGUAUCCUCGCAGAUUUACCAGGUAACGGUGUUUUAUGCUUCCAAGAAUUUCAAGCUCUCUCUCAAAAAAUCUAUCAA
rnacentral:lncRNA from 1 species